GAGAGAGAGAGAGAGAGAGAGAGAGAGAGAUACAGAGAUACUGGGAGGACCUGGAGGCCAGGUCUCCCUUUUACAUAAAAUAUACACUUCCGUCCCUUGUUCCAGGGUACAAAACCAAACACUUCUAAUAGUGCCCCUUCCCAUGGGCAGAGAUAUUCAAACCGCCACACCCAUAUAUUCCCUCAGUUUGCCCUACAGAAGGCACUUCUGCCCUCCACCACCCACAUCCUAGCACGGGGUAUAUAGUAGAACUCUCCUAUGGUACUAUGCAUGACAGCGUUCUGCCUUUUAUCUUACUGGGUUGUGUCCUAUCGUUAAAGGAAGCUUUAGGGCUGAGGGUGUGCUCGGUGAUGAAGCACUUGCCUAUGCCCUGGGUUUCCCCCUCAUUAACAAAUUAAGUAAAUCUGCCCUAUUUCUAGCAUAGCAUUAGCCUACAGGGUAUUCUGCUGGCCUGCUCUCUCGAACCUAGCAACUGUUUAAGUCGCCCCCUGCUGCCACCACCAGCUACUACAGUGUCGUCAUCCACAUGACUCUGGCUCCUACAGCUUGCCCAGGUGGACCAUGUGCUCUUAACACCACCUGGCUUCCUACAGCACCUGGCUUCCUGCAGCACCUGGCUUCCUGCAGCACCUGGCUUCCUUCAGCACCUGGCUUCCUGCAGCACCUGGCUUCCUGCAGCACCUGGCUUCCUGCAGCACCUGGCUUCCUACAGCACCUGGUUUCCUACAGCACCUGGCUUCCUGCAGCCGGCCUGUGCUCACUCGCUCCCUUCUUGGACUCAAGAUUUUAUUACAACUUGGUUUAAUUCAAUGGCACACCUGACUUCCAAAUUCUCACUGCCAUGGACAAAUGAUCCCCAAAUGUAUCUAAACUUGCUCUGCACUACACUCAAGGUUCUACUUCCACUCUUAAAAAAAUUGUUAUCUCUUGGUUUUUUUUUUAAAAGAUUUAUGUAUGUGAGUACACUAUCACUCUCUUCAGACACCAGAAGAGGGCAUCAGAUCCCAUUACAGAUGGUUGCAAGCCAGCAUGUGGUUGCUGGGUAUUGAACUCAGGACUUUUGGAAGAGCAGUCAGUGCUCUUAACCACUGAGCCAUCUCUCCAGCCCCUUAAGGUGUUAUCUCUAAUUACUUAUGUCUUUGCUAAUUGUAAGAUGUCUUACAAUUUAGAUAAGUAACAACAAUGUUUAAUGAACAAGGUGGGUUUAACACUCAAGAUCUAUAAACUCUCAAGGAGUCAUAGUAAUGUC